rnacentral:rRNA from 4 species
AAACUUUCAACAACGGAUCUCUUGGUUCUGGCAUCGAUGAAGAACGCAGCGAAAUGCGAUAAGUAAUGUGAAUUGCAGAAUUCAGUGAAUCAUCGAAUCUUUGAACGCACAUUGCGCCCUCUGGUAUUCCGGAG